UGUUAAUUUAGUUCCAAAGAUGAAAAAUAGAAGAGAACAGAAGAAUACAUGUAAUUGAGAAGAGUUGUGGCACUGUUAUGAGCCAUGAUAGAAAUGACUGUAAAAUGAUUGUAACACGCAUGUUCACUACUGUGACUUCCUCGUGUAAUUUACUGAAGAAGGCUGUUUGAAAAAGCAGCACACACUUUGAAGGAAACGUCCCUCCUCUGAACAUCUUCACCUCUCUGCUCCAGAGGACCUGACAAGAAUACUUUCUGCCUAUUCUGAAACACAAAGAUGGCUGUAGCUCUCACUCUCCUUCUUGUUGGCUGUCUGCUCCCAGGUGCCCUGUGUGGACAGUUUGAGAGCAUUAUACCAAAGACUA